AGCCGUGCGGUGAGCACAGAGCGAACUAUUCUUUCGCCUUUUACUAAAGAAUACCGUGUGCUUGCUACUCUCUAGCGGCAUACGCCUAUUUUUGGAGGGCGGUUCUUUGCUGAGCCGG
rnacentral:snRNA from 2 species